rnacentral:lncRNA from 1 species
UCUUAUAGUUUUAGAAUCUGAGUGAGUUACUGUUUUGAAUAUCUAAAAUCUUCAAAUUAAGUUUUUAUGAUUUUAAGUUAAAUUAGACUUAAGAAUAUGUGUAAGAAUUGAGAAUAAAUAUUUACUUUUUAUUUUAGAAAUGAACACACAAGAAAAUUUAAACGACGAUGAUGGUGACUUUUUUAGAAAAAAAUUAGAAGAUUUACAAAAGUCCAUAGGUGAGUAAAAUUGCUUUUAUGUUUAUUAUACACCCUAAUUAUUUAUGUACAUCUAAUAUUAAAUGCGUUUUUUCAAUUUGAGAUUAGUUUUGGACUUUGUACUUUUUGGUCAAUUUUUUUAGAUAUCAUUUUAAACUACAUUUGUAAGUAACUAUAUUAUGUUUUAUGUCUCAUAAAAGUUUUAAUAAAUAAUAUAAUGUAAUCACUUAUAUAGUGACAAAUCCAACUUCCUCAGUAACGUAUGUUGUUGUACUCACUUAUACUUGACUUAAUUUAUGGAUUAAUUGGUUUUAUUGCAUUUUUAAUUUUCUUUUAUUUAUCUCUAGCUGC